rnacentral:rRNA from 1 species
UUGACCUCGAAUCAGGUGAGGAUACCCGCUGAAUUUAAGCAUAUCAAU